AACGAACGCUGGCGGCAGGCCUAACACAUGCAAGUCGAGCGAACCCUUCGGGGUUAGCGGCGGACGGGUUAGUAACGCGUGGGAAUAUACCCUUUGGUACGGAAUAGCCUCGGGAAACUGAGAGUAAUACCGUAUGUGCCCUUCGGGGAAAGAUUUAUCGCCAAAGGAUUAGCCCGCGUUGGAUUAGGUAGUUGGUGGGGUAAUGGCCUACCAAGCCUACGAUCCAUAGCUGGUUUGAGAGGAUGAUCAGCAACACUGGGACUGAGACACGGCCCAGACUCCUACGGGAGGCAGCAGUGGGGAAUCUUAGACAAUGGGCGCAAGCCUGAUCUAGCCAUGCCGCGUGGACGAUGAAGGCCUUA
rnacentral:rRNA from 1 species